rnacentral:rRNA from 1 species
UACGUAGGGUGCGAGCGUUGUCCGGAAUUAUUGGGCGUAAAGAGCUCGUAGGCGGUCUGUCGCGUCGGUCGUGAAAACUUGGGGCUCAACCCUGAGCUUGCGGUCGAUACGGGCAUGACUGGAGUUCGGCAGGGGAGACUGGAAUUCCUGGUGUAGCGGUGAAAUGCGCAGAUAUCAGGAGGAACACCGGUGGCGAAGGCGGGUCUCUGGGCCGAUACUGACGCUGAGGAGCGAAAGCGUGGGGAGCGAACAGG